AUUGAACGCUGGCGGCAUGCCUUGCACAUGCAAGUCGAACGGCAGCGGGGGAGAAGCUUGCUUUUCCUGCCGGCGAGUGGCGAACGGGUGAGUAAUACAUCGGAACGUGCCCUGUAGUGGGGGAUAACUAGUCGAAAGAUUAGCUAAUACCGCAUACGACCUGAGGGUGAAAGUGGGGGACCGCAAGGCCUCAUGCUAUAGGAGCGGCCGAUGUCUGAUUAGCUAGUUGGUGGGGUAAAGGCCUACCAAGGCGACGAUCAGGAGCUGGUCUGAUAGGACGAUCAGCCACACUGGGACUGAGACACGGCCCAGACUCCUACGGGAGUCAGCAGUGGGGAAUUUUGGACAAUGGGCGAAAGCCUGAUCCAGCAAUGCCGCGUGUGUGAAGAAGGCCUUCGGGUUGUAAAGCACUUUUGUCCGGAAAGAAAUGGCUCUGGUUAAUACCUGGGGUCGAUGACGGUACCGGAAGAAUAAGGACCGGCUAACUACGUGCCAGCCGCCGCGGUAA
rnacentral:rRNA from 1 species